rnacentral:rRNA from 1 species
ACGGGGCCCGGCGACAAGCGGUGGAGUAUGUGGUUUAAUUCGAUGCAACGCGAAGAACCUUACCUGGUCUUGACAUCCCGGAGACCCUUAGGAACUAGGGGGUGGCUUCCAUCUGGAAGAAUCUGGAGACAGGUGCUGCAUGGCUGUCGUCAGCUCGUGUCGUGAGAUGUUGGGUUAAGUCCCGCAACGAGCGCAACCCUUGCCUUUAGUUGCCAGCAGUUCGGCUGGGCACUCUAAAGGGACUGCCGGUGUUAAACCGGAGGAAGGUGGGGAUGACGUCAAAGUCCUCAUGGCCUUUAUGACCAGGGCUACACACGUACUACAAUGGCCGAUACAAAGGGCAGCGACACUGCGAGGUGAAGCCAAUCCCGUAAAAUCGGUCUCAGUCCGGAUUGGAGUCUGCAACUCGACUCCAUGAAGUUGGAAUCGCUAGUAAUCGUGGAUCAGCAUGCCACGGUGAAUACGUUCCCGGGCCUU